rnacentral:lncRNA from 1 species
UCCACUCCUCCUUCCAGGGCUUAAGAACUUAAUUACUUAAAUGUGCCAAGCAUUGAAUUUCAAAAGCAAAAGCUCAUGUGAAGAAGUCAACAUGCUGGACUGAAUAGAGUAUAGUCUAUCCUCCCAAAUCUGGCAUGAAUAAAAUAUGAAUCCAUAAUUGAAGAAAACUCUAUAUUUGGAUCAACAUAGUAUAUCAAUGGCUUUGGACAUUAACUUGAAAAUUAGCAAAAUCUUCACUAGUAAUGGGCUGAGAGAAUCCUAUUAAAUGCAAAACCCAAGCUGGAACUUCAUAAACUUCUUUGCAAAGCAUUUGCAAAGCAUCGAAACUAAGUUUUAAAGCCAUGGAAUGUGAAUAUGGGGUGAAGUCAAAAGCACUCCAUUGGGUGCUGGUGCCAUGACUAGAGGUAAGAAGAAGACAAAAGUCAUUUCCUCUCCAGCCCUACCCUUUGGAGGGAAUGUGUGGUUUUGCGUCUUUGGCUUUGGGGAAGUGACUGAGCAGUGGCAGUAAAAUGGGUUGAGAGAGGGGCACUGGGGUGUGUGUGUGUGUGUGUGUGUAGGAAAAGAGCCCCAGGAGCAA